AGGCAUCUCUGACUGCAGUUCUCUUUGCAAGUUUAAGAACAGCUGCACUGCCAUGAGUGAUGUGCAAGUGACAGCUAUCAGAGCAGUGGACAGAAGUGCAAGAUCUAUUCCUGCUUGUAGAUGUGGCGGGGAAAGAAGCCAGAGAGCAAGAGGUGUUAAAAAAUGCCGCGAAAGGAACAAGGAAGUAAUGGGGCUGCUGGGACAUGAAGCAAUGCAUCACGGGACACUAAGCAAGGACCCAGAAUGCCCUCCGCACAUCCCCUUCCCACAAGACCUAUUGUCAAAACGGAGAGAGCUGCACUGUGGGAUAGCUGCUCUCAGUACCCUGCUCUCAUCGGUGAUGGAAGUGCUGCAGAUGUAAACACUCUCUGACGCCUGUGGAAAUAAAUAAAGGUGCAGAGUCACCAAGAGUGCUGCCUAAUGGUUAGGCAGGGCUUUGGCAGGGUACCUCCCUGUUGAAAAGCACAGAGCAUGUCUACGCUUACCUCCGGAGCGAUCGAUCCAGCAGGGGUCGAUUUAUCACCUCUAGUGAAGACGCGAUAAAUUGACUGCCGAGCGCUCUCCUGUCGACUCUGGUACUCCACCGGAGCGAGAAGCGCAGGCAGAGUCGAUGGGGGAAUGUCAGCAGUUGACUCACUGCAGCGAAGACACCGUGGACUGGACAUUGAAGUACUAAACAACUGUGACUGUGUCGGGUAGGCCUGGGCCAACUUGGGGUAGCAAGUACUUGAAAUCUGAUGAUAGAGGCCUUCACACAAGAUUCACAAAUCAAAGAGGGUCUGGCUGCAGUGCUUCCUGGGAUGGUGCAACUUGCGCACCACCAUUGACUGAAGGAGGUCCUGGAAGGCACAAUCUAGCUCAUCAAUGAGAC